AUUGAACGCUAGCGGGAUGCCUUACACAUGCAAGUCGAACGGAGUGGCGAACGGGUGAGUAAUGUAUCGGAACGUGCCCAGUAGCGGGGGAUAACUACGCGAAAGCGUAGCUAAUACCGCAUACUAUUGGAGCGGCCGAUAUCGGAUUAGCUAGUUGGUGGGGUAACGGCCCACCAAGGCGACGAUCCGUAGCUGGUUUUAGAGGACGAGCAGCCACUCUGGAACUGAGACACGGUCCAGACUCCUACGGGAGGCAGCAGUGGGUAAUUUUGGACAAUGGUGUAAACCCUGAUCCAGCCAUCCCGCGUGUGUGAUGAAGGCCUUCGGGUUGUAAAGCACUUUCGGCUGGGAAGCGUUACCUGCAUAAUAAGCACCGGCUAACUACGUGCCAGCAGCCGCGGUAAUUC
rnacentral:rRNA from 1 species